GCCAUCCACGCCAUUCGCCGGUCGAGCAACCGUCAGCGCCGCCGCCUGCGGUUCCUGCGGCAUUGCGCAGGUCUCGAAGCUCUUGACGGAGACCGUCCCAUCAUCGUCGUCGUCGUUCUCGUCCUCGGCGGCCGCGCUGAUCUCGUCGCCGCAGAGAUUGUUUAUGUCGCAGGCAGGCAAAAGCAUCUGCAAUUGUGAAGAUCCAUGAACCGAGGUGCCACGACAAAGUACAGAAUCGAAAGUACAUUGGCCUCAUCGCCGGUUACUGAUUGGUGUACCGAGAGAUCUUCACUUUUUCUCGUACUGAACCUGAACCCGAACCCAACACCGACUGCACAGUUGCACUGCACCACCACAAACGUA